rnacentral:rRNA from 1 species
UACGAAGGAUUCGAGCGUUAUCCGGAUUUAUUGGGUUUAAAGGGUGCGUAGUGGAUUAAUAAGUCAGUGGUGAAAGCCCGAAGCUCAACUUCGGAACUGCCAUUGAUACUGUUAAUCUUGAGUACAAUUGAAGUGGGCGGAAUGUGUCAUGUAGCGGUGAAAUGCUUAGAUAUGACACAGAACACCGAUUGCGAAGGCAGCUCACUAAGUUGUAACUGACACUGAGGCACGAAAG